rnacentral:rRNA from 1 species
AGAGUUUGAUCCUGGCUCAGAAUGAACGCUGGCGGCAGGCCUAAAACAUGCAAGUCGAACGAGCGUAGCAAUACGCUAGUGGCGCACGGGUGAGUAGCACGUGGGAAUAUGCCUUUUGGUACGGAACAGCUCUGGGAAACUGGAAUUAAUACCGUAUGGUCCCUUAGGGGUAAAGAUUUAUCGCCAAAAGAUUAGCCCGC